rnacentral:rRNA from 1 species
GACGAGUGGCGGACGGGUGAGUAAUACUUAGGAACAUGCCUUUGUGUGGGGGAUAACCAUUGGAAACGAUGGCUAAUACCGCAUAAUGUCUUUGGACCAAAGAGGGCUUUCGGGCUCUCGCGCAAAGAGUGGCCUAAGUGAGAUUAGCUUGUUGGUGAGGUAAAGGCUCACCAAGGCGACGAUCUCUAGCUGUUCUGAGAGGAAGAUCAGCCACACUGGGACUGAGACACGGCCCAGACUCCUACGGGAGGCAGCAGUGGGGAAUAUUGCACAAUGGGGGCAACCCUGAUGCAGCCAUGCCGCGUGUGUGAAGAAGGCCUUCGGGUUGUAAAGCACUUUCAGUUGUGAGGAAAGGUUGAUGGUUAAUACCCAUCAGCUGUGACGUUAGCAACAGAAGAAGCACCGGCUAACUCCGUGCCAGCAGCCGCGGUAAUACGGAGGGUGCGAGCGUUAAUCGGAAUUACUGGGCGUAAAGCGCACGCAGGCGGUUAUAUAAGCUAGAUGUGAAAGCCCCGGGCUCAACCUGGGAAUAGCAUUUAGAACUGUAUGACUAGAGUCUUGGAGAGGGGAGUGGAAUUCCAGGUGUAGCGGUGAAAUGCGUAGAUAUCUGGAGGAACAUCAGUGGCGAAGGCGACUCCCUGGCCAAAGACUGACGCUCAUGUGCGAAAGUGUGGGUAGCGAACAGGAUUAGAUACCCUGGUAGUCCACACCGUAAACGCUGUCUACUAGCUGUUUGUGUAUUAUAUACGUGAGUAGCGAAGCUAACGCGCUAAGUAGACCGCCUGGGGAGUACGGCCGCAAGGUUAAAACUCAAAUGAAUUGACGGGGGCCCGCACAAGCGGUGGAGCAUGUGGUUUAAUUCGAUGCAACGCGAAGAACCUUACCUACUCUUGACAUCCAGAAAAUUUGGCAGAGAUGCCUCAGUGCCUUCGGGAAUUCUGAGACAGGUGCUGCAUGGCUGUCGUCAGCUC